AGGGGUCUCGAGGGGGGUCCUGGGGGUGUUGGGGGACUUUGGGGUUCCAGGGUGGUCCUGGGCCAACCUUGGGCGCUUUUCAGGGGGAUUUGGGGUUCCCGGGGGAGAUUUGGGGUUCCUGGGGGUUCCCAGCCCCCCCCCCACUCCCGUGUUUGGGGGUCUCCCAUGGUGUCCCCUCCCCACAGAGCUCCGAGGGCCCCUGAGGUGGCUCCUGUUCCACCGGCCGGUGCCCCUGACCCAGGACGGCCCCAGAGAGUCUGGGGGGAUUUUGGGGGGCAAUUUUGGGAGGGUUUUUGGGGAUUUUGGGAGGGCUUUUUUUAGAGCUUUGGAGGGUUUUGAUGGAAGUUGAGGGGGUAUUAGUGGGGUUUCAGAGAGAAUUAUUGUGUUUCGGGGGGUUAUGCGAUUUUGGGGGUUUUGUGGAUUUGGGGAGUUUUGGAUUUUGGGGGAUUUUAUUGGGGUUGGGGGAGUUGAUUUUUGAGGGGGUUUAGUGAAAUUUUGGGGAGUUUUUUUAAGUUUUGGUGGGUUUCACUGGGAUUUUGUGGGAUUCUCUGGGGUUUUGGAGGAUCUUCUUGUAAUUUCUUGAGGAAUUUGGGAUUUUUAGUGGAAUUUGUGGGGGAUUUGGGCGUCUGGGACCUUUGGGGUUGUCCCAGGGUUUGUGGAAGGGCUGAGAGGCAUCAAAAUCUCCUUAAUCUCCUUAAAAGCCCCAAAAGUCCCAAUAAAACUCAUGAAAUCCGAAAUAAAUAUCGCAAAGUCCCAUUAGAACACCCUAGAAUCCCAAUAAAAGACCAUGAAAUCUUUUGAAAUCCCAAUAACCCCCAAAAUCCUGAUGAAACCCCACAAAUCCCCCAAAAAUGUCCCCUAAAAAAUCUUGCAAAAUCUCCCCCAAGACCCAAAGAAAUCAGAGCAACAACCAAGAAACCUCACAAAAUCCCACCAAAACUCCCAAAAAACCCAAAUUGCCAAAAAACCCACAUCCCAAAUAAAUCACAUUAAAUGCCUCCACAAUUCCAAUAAAUACCUCAAAAUCUCCUAAAAAUCCCAAUAAAACCCCCAGAAUUUAUGAGAAUUGCAAAAACCCCCAACAAAAUCCCAGUAAAACUUCCCAAAAUACAAAAAAAAAAAAAAAACAACCAAAAUUUUCAAUAAACCCCCAAACACCCCCAGAAAAACACACCCCAAAGCGCCAAUUAAACCCCCAAAAUACAAACCCCCCAAAAUCCACAAAACCCCCCAACAUUUCCCACCUUGUCCCAGCAUGUCUGCAGUCAUUUCCAGGCGCUGCCAGGGGCCCCAGGAAGGUGUCAGUUCUCCCAGUGUGAUCCCCCAGUCAUGCCCAGAACAUCCCAGCUGCCUCCAGCAUGCAUCCAGUCCUGCCCAGUUCCUCCAGUUUGCUUGCAGCAUGAUCCCAGUUUCUCUCAGGUGCUCCCAGUAGCCCAAAGUGUGAUCCCAGUCACUCCCUUUCAAUCCCAAUAUGAUCCCAGUAAGCUCCAGUUGGAUCCCAGUCACAUGCCAGCACUCCCAGUGUGGUCCCAGUAUAAUCCCAGUUGCUCCCAGUCAGGCCAAGUAUGGGGGAUGAUGUGCAGGGUGUGCUCCCAGUCGCUCUCAGAUUCUCCCAGUAUUAGUCCGGUCCCUCCCAGUAUGAUCCAGAGAUGAGCCCAGUGUGCUCCCAGUCCCUGCCAGUAUGAACCAGUUGUGCUCCACAUGGUUCCAGUUGCUCUCCUUCACCCUCCCUUUGGUUCCAGUCACUCCUGAUAUCUCGCAGUGUAUCCCAGUUCCCUCCAACAUGGUGCCAGUCCCUCCCAUUAUUCCCCAGUAUGAUCCCAUUUGCUGCCAAGCACUCCCAGUCAGCCUCAGUGCAGUGGCACUCACUGCCAGGAUGAUCCCAGUCACCUCCAGCGUGAUCCCAGUUGAUCCCAGGAUAAGCGCAGUUUUUUCCAGUAACCAACAGCAUGUUCCCCGUCACUCCCAGUUCCUCCCAGCUGGGUUUUCUGGGGGGAUGUUUGGAGAAUGAAGAAGUGCGAGGCUGAGCGGAAAAGGCCCCUCGGGGGGACAUCGGGGGGUGGCGGUGGCGGCUGGCGGCAGAGGCAGCCUGGAGGAGCAGAGCCCUGUGUCCCCCAGGAGCCCAAAGUGGGGAGCCCAGAGAGGGGGGAGCGCCACCAUGGGCGGGAGCCUGCAGAGGCUGGAGAGGGGCAGGGGGGACUCCUUGGAGCCCCUGCAGCCCGGAGCAGAGCAUGAGGGGAGAAGGGAGCCCAAAAGGGAGCCCGAAAAGCCCCGGCAUCCCUGAAUGGGGAGCGAAAAGGGGGCAGCUUUUGGGAUUGCUGGGACUGCCAGCAGGCUGGGGAGGACGGGCACCGAGGAGAAGGGGGACCCCCAAUGCAAGCGUGACCCCCGCAGAUGGGACAGGGGGGAACCCUAAACAGCAGAGGGGUGGGAGCAGGGACAGGGAACUCCUGGGAGGCUUUUUCCAGGCUGACUCGUGGUCUUUGGGAGUUUUUUCUGGAGCCCCGAUGGCCGGUGACUUGUAGAGAUGCACUUGGGCAGAGGGACCUUCAAACUCAAUGUGCUCAUCCUUUGUUUUCCUCAAACCAGGAUUUCCAUUGCCAACCCCCAUUGAGGCUGUGAGGAAAAUGCCCCAGAACAUGCAAGCAGAGCCGAAGCUGAGCCUGGAGAGCAGGGAGGACAAAUCCCCGCGGCAGAACCUCGUGGCAGAGGCCGUUUUGAGUGGCUCCACAGCGCAGGAACCCAACAGGGAGGAAAAGCCCUGGAGAUCCUGCACAAGGAGGGGCUGCAAACGCAGCCCAGGUUGCUCUGAGGAGUAAAGAUCCACCCUGUGCCAGGAACGUGGACAGAGCUUCAGCCAGAGCUUGGAGCUGGUGGUCCAUGAGCAGGUUCCUGAUGGGGAGAAGCCUCACAGGUGCUUGGAGUGUGGGAAGAGCUUCUGGUGGAUCACCAGCCUGAUCGUGCACCAGAGAACCCACACUGGGGAACGGCCCUACGAGUGUGGGGAGUGUGGGAAAGGCUUCAGGUGCAGCUCUGAGCUCAUCACUCACUAACGCAUCCAUACCGGGGAGAGGCCCUAGGACUGUCCCGAGUGUCAGAAGAGGUUUCAGACCAGCUCCAGUCUCCUCCAGCAUCAAUGGAUUCACACAGAGGAGAGGCCCUUCCGCUGCCCAGACUGCAGGAAGGGCUUCAACUGCAAGUCAAACUUCGCCAGGCACCGGUGCAUCCACAGCGAGGAGAGGCUCUACGAGUGUCCCCAGUGUGGGAAGAUCUUUACCCACAGCUCUAACUUGACCAAACACCAACAGAAUUACCAGUAAGGGAAGUCCUGCAAGUGCCCUGAGUGUGGGAAGAGCCUCGUGUGCUGCUCCAGCUUCAUCCCCCAUUGGAGGACCCGCAUUGGGAAGAGACCUGCUGAUCCAUGUUCCCUGUGAUCCAUGGUGGGAAGACAUUUGUCACUUUUCCUGCCCCUGCUGGUGACCUGAUGUGGGAUUGAAGAACAAGAGGGUCUGGCCAGAGCCCUGUCAUUACACUCACUCCCACCUCAGGUCAUUGCCAGGGGCAGGAAAGGGACUCUCUCCCUGAGGAGAAAGGUGUCCUUUCCAGGCAGGAGGAAAUACCUGGCCAGGAAGAGCCACUCAGUGGUGAUGUUGUAGUUUUCCCUGUAAAUAGUUUUUCUUAUCCCUUCUGUUAUCAAUAUUGCUUUUUUUCCUGUUUAUUCCUUAUGUCAUUGCUGUUCCCAGUAAAUUGUUCUUAUCCCAG